GAUGAACGCUGGCGGCGUGCUUAACACAUGCAAGUCGAACGAACCUUCGGGUUAGUGGCGGACGGGUGAGUAACGCGUGAGAAUCUGCCCUCAGGAGGGGGAUAACGGCUGGAAACGGCCGCUAAUACCCCACAUGCCGAGAGCUGAAAUGAAUUUCGCCUGAGGAUGAGCUCGCGUCUGAUUAGCCAGUUGGUGGGGUAAAGGCCGACCAAGGCGACGGUCAGUAGCUGGUCUGAGAGGAUGAUCAGCCACACUGGGACUGAGACACGGACCAGACUACUACGGGAGGCAGCAGUGGGGAAGUUUCCGCAAUGGGCGAAAGCCUGACGGGGCAACGCCGCGUGAAGGAUGAAGGGCUCUGGGCUGUAAACCUCUUUUCACAAGGAAGAAGAUCUGACGGUACUUGAGGAAUAAGCCACGGCUAAUUCCGUGCCAGCAGCCGCGGUAAAAC
rnacentral:rRNA from 1 species